ensembl:lncRNA
GUUCUUAUUACUCUAUUCAUGUUAGUAUUUUGUAGUGUAGGUUUUUUUUUUUUUCAUUUUAGCCAUUCUGACAAGUGUGCAGUGAUAAUUUGCAUUUCCCUAAUGAUGAGUGGUAACAGCUUUUAGUGUCUUUAUUUGCCAUCCUUAUCUCUUCGGUAAAGUAUCUGUUCAUGUUUUUGUUCCAAUUUUAUAAAACAACUGUUGAUACAAGUCAUCUAUAGAAUAAGUUGCAAAGGUUUUCUCCAGGUGUAUGACUUGUGUUUUCAUUUCUUAAUGAUCUCUUUUGAAAUGCAGACUUUAAAAAAAAUUCCCAUAAAGUCCAGUUUAUCCACUUUUUUUUCUUUUAUGGUUCAUUAAUUGUGUAUAGAAAUCUUUGCCUAACUAGAGGUCACAAAGAUUUUUCUAUGUUUUCUUCUAGGAGGAUUAUACUUUUAAGUCUAUGAUUCAUUUCAAGUUGAUUUUUAUAUGUAUUAUGAGUAUGGAUCAAAAUUGUGUGUAGGGGGACCCUUGAAUAUUAUCUGGAUGUCUCUGGAAAGCAAAAUAUCUUGCUUGAUGGUGCAGCUCUACGUCAAAAAAGCAAACAACUCAAUCACCAGAUGGACAGAAGAUCUAAAGAGACAGUUCUUCACGGAAGACAUACAGAUGGCCAAAAAGUACAUGAAAAGAUUCUCAGCCUAAUUAUUCAGUUCAGUUCAGUUGCUCAGUUGUGUCUGACUCUUUGUGACCCCAUGAAUUGCAGCAUGCCAGGCCUCCCUGUCCAUCACCGACUCCUGGAGUUUACUCAAAC